rnacentral:rRNA from 1 species
CUACGGGAUGCAGCAGUGAGGAAUAUUGCACAAUGGGGGGAACCCUGAUGCAGCAACGCCGCGUGGAGGAUGACGCAUUUCGGUGUGUAAACUCCUUUUAUAUGUCAAGAAAAUGACGGUAGCAUAUGAAUAAGCACCGGCUAACUCCGUGCCAGGCAGCCGCGGUAAUACGGGGGGUGCAAGCGUUACUCGGAAUCACUGGGCGUAAAGGACGCGUAGGCGGGUUGGAAAGUCAGGUGUGAAAUCCUACAGCUUAACUGUAGAACUGCACUUGAAACUUCUAAUCUAGAGUAUGGGAGGGGGAGAUGGAAUUAGUGGUGUAGGGGUAAAAUCCGUAGAUAUCACUAGGAAUACCUAAAGCGAAGGCGAUCUCCUGGAACAUUACUGACGCUAAGGCGUGAAAGCGUGGGGAGCAAACAGGAUUAGAUACCCCAGUAGUC